rnacentral:lncRNA from 1 species
GAAUUCCCAAGUGAGACUUGGGGAGUGGACGUAGGAGCAAGGAUUAGCUCCGAACCACUAUAAAAGCCUUGUGUUUGUGAUUGUGUAUCUCUUUCUUUUACUCUCAUUUCAUUCACAGCACAUAGCAAUUAAUUAAUCAUCUUGGUAAAGCAUUAAUUAGUCAUCCACAACAUUUUAAUUGCAAAAUUAUUUUAAAACCCAAUUCACCCCCCCUC